rnacentral:tRNA from 1 species
GAUGUGGCUCAGUGGUAGAGCUCUUGUCUAGAAUGUGGAAGGCUCUGGGUUCAAUUCUCAGCAUC